rnacentral:rRNA from 1 species
GCCAGCAGCCAUAUCACCCUGCAAGUCACAACUGGCAGUCCUCUGAAGCUAAGCACGUGUGAGCCUGGCCAGUACCUGGAUGGAGACCUCCUGGGAAAAAUUAAGGUUGCUGCUGGAA